GAUGAACGCUGGCGGCGUGCUUAACACAUGCAAGUCGAACGGAAAGGCCCAAGCUUGCUUGGGUACUCGAGUGGCGAACGGGUGAGUAACACGUGGGUGAUCUGCCCUGCACUUCGGGAUAAGCCUGGGAAACUGGGUCUAAUACCGGAUAGGACGAUGGUUUGGAUGCCAUUGUGGAAAGUUUUUUCGGUGUGGGAUGAGCUCGCGGCCUAUCAGCUUGUUGGUGGGGUAAUGGCCUACCAAGGCGUCGACGGGUAGCCGGCCUGAGAGGGUGUACGGCCACAUUGGGACUGAGAUACGGCCCAGACUCCUACGGGAGGCAGCAGUGGGGAAUAUUGCACAAUGGGCGCUAGCCUGAUGCAGCGACGACGCGUGGGGGAUGACGGCCUUCGGGUUGUAAACUCCUUUCGCUAGGGACGAAGCGUUUUUGUGACGGUACCUGGAGAAGAAGCACCGGCUAACUACGUG
rnacentral:rRNA from 1 species